rnacentral:rRNA from 1 species
GAUGAACGCUGGCGGCGUGCCUAAUAUAUGCAAGUAGAACGCUGAAGGAGGAGCUUGCUCUUCUGGAAGAGUUGCGAACGGGUGAGUAACGCGUAGGUAACCUGCCUGGUAGCGGGGGAUAACUAUUGGAAACGAUAGCUAAUACCGCAUAACAGUAGAUGUUGCAUGACAACUAUUUGAAAGGUGCAAUUGCACCACUACCAGAUGGACCUGCGUUGUAUUAGCUAGUUGGUGAGGUAACGGCUCACCAAGGCGACGAUACAUAGCCGACCUGAGAGGGUGAUCGGCCACACUGGGACUGAGACACGGCCCAGACUCCUACGGGAGGCAGCAGUAGGGAAUCUUCGGCAAUGGACGGAAGUCUGACCGAGCAACGCCGCGUGAGUGAAGAAGGUUUUCGGAUCGUAAAGCUCUGUUGUAAGAGAAGAACGAGUGUGAGAGUGGAAAGUUCACACUGUGACGGUAUCUACCAG